AUUGAACGCUGGCGGCAGGCCUAACACAUGCAAGUCGAGCGGAUGAAGGGAGCUUGCUCCUGGAUUCAGCGGCGGACGGGUGAGUAAUGCCUAGGAAUCUGCCUGGCUGUGGGGGAUAACGUCCGGAAACGGGCGCUAAUACCGCAUACGUCCUGAGGGAGAAAGUGGGGGAUCUUCGGACCUCACGCUAUCAGAUGAGCCUAGGUCGGAUUAGCUAGUUGGUGGGGUAAAGGCCUACCAAGGCGACGAUCCGUAACUGGUCUGAGAGGAUGAUCAGUCACACUGGAACUGAGACACGGUCCAGACUCCUACGGGAGGCAGCAGUGGGGAAUAUUGGACAAUGGGCGAAAGCCUGAUCCAGCCAUGCCGCGUGUGUGAAGAAGGUCUUCGGAUUGUAAAGCACUUUUAGUUGGGAAGAAGGGCAGUAAGUUAAUACCUUGCUGUUUUGACGUUACCAACAGAAUAAGCACCGGCUAACUUCGUG
rnacentral:rRNA from 1 species